rnacentral:rRNA from 1 species
UAGGGAAUCUUCGGCAAUGGGGGGAACCCUGACCGAGCAACGCCGCGUGAGUGAAGAAGGUUUUCGGAUCGUAAAGCUCUGAUGUUAAGGAAGAACGAGUGUGAGAAUGGAAAGUUCAUACUGUGACGGUACUUAACCAGAAAGGGACGGCUAACUACGUGCCAGCAGCCGCGGUAAUACGUAGGUCCCGAGCGUUGUCCGGAUUUAUUGGGCGUAAAGCGAGCGCAGGCGGUUAGAUAAGUCUGAAGUUAAAGGCAGUGGCUCAACCAUUGUAGGCUUUGGAAACUGUUUAACUUGAGUGCAGAAGGGGGGAGUGGAAUUCCAUGUGUAGCGGUGAAAUGCGUAGAUAUAUGGAGGAACACCGGUGGCGAAAGCGGCUCUCUGGUCUGUAACUGACGCUGAGGCUCGAAAGCGUGGGGAGCGAACAGG